UCCGCUGCCCUGGUGCCAAGUAGCCAACCCGGGGCGAGGGACGGGAACCCCAGGGAGAGGGGACGGGGUGGUGCCAAGCCGGACAGCCCCAGGGGCCCCCGCCAGCGAAAGCGUGCGGCGGGGCUGGAGCGUUGAGCAGACCGAGGGGCGGUAAAGAGGCAGGGUGGAGAGCUGCAGCCUGGAAAGCAGGUGCAUGGUGCCCACAAGGAGCCGGCAGAUAACAGACCAGAGACAACACAGAGUCCAGCCUGGGUGACUCCUUAGAGGCGGGCGGACCCUUAGUUCCCUGCUAGCUCGACUGAGAGAGCUUUUGUUCCUAACAAGAGCCAUGGAACAAAUGGUUUUCCCAACCCCUGGAAAAAUCAACAAGAAAUAUGCUCCUCCCAGAAGUAGUUGCAGUUGGAAGCAUACCACAGAAGAAACAGAACUCACGUACCAAGUCAUCUAACAAUGCAAAUGGAAAGAAAGACUUUUAUAUUAUGCCAGAUGAAAGAGAUGGACAAGGCACACUUUAAAAGACCACAGUACAGAGACAGGAGGUGGGACUAAACAGAGUACCUAUUCAAGUUGUACAUGGAACCACAGUCACUUGCAUGAUAACCUACUGUACAGUUUUACAGCAAGGAUGAUGGUGAUGGAUAUAUGUAACAAAAUAAGAAAUACACAUAAUUAAACAACCCCCUAUCAUAGAUAUUAUAAUAAAAUCACACUACAUUGAAAUAAUAACCCUGAUCAAAAAGCAAUGCAAUAAGUUGUAGCUAUCUACAGUCUAUAAAAUAGGGUCCAAAGCCCACGCAGUGAAAUUCAAAGAAUAGCAAACUACUGAAACUGUAAAAGUAUUCACAAAAUAAAUGAGUAUAUGUAAAGCUAAAUAGAUAACUUUUUCCCAUGAUUCAUUGGGGGAAAGACUAUACUGACUUGAUAGACUUGAAAGCAACAAGUUUGCACAAACUAUGAGAGAACAGGAAAAUUAAACUCAUAUAUUGAUAAAGUGCACAAGUUUAGACAUACUGUAAAUGAAAGAAAAGCUAUAUUAGAAGCAGAAGAAAAAGUUUAAUUGAUGCAUGAAAAUAAUGUACCCGAAUUGGAGAAACAGUACUUCAGAUAACAAAUUGGGGGAAAAAAUGUAUUAAAAAAGGGGCAGAGAAGCUGUAAUAACUUUUCUAAGUUUACUUUUUAAAGUAGGCAACAGGGAGCGAAUAAUUAUAACAUAUAAAAUGCAAACUACAAUAAUAUAAUUUCUGAACAAAGAAAAUACAAAUCGAUAAAUGCUGUGAACGUAAACAUAUACAUUACUAUAACAGAAGCAGAGCAUCAAAAGUAGGCAAGCUGACAUCUACCGAAAUAAGUGCAAGCAACAUACAGGGCAUGAAGGGAAAAGAAAAUGAUAAUAGGGUGAAAUGCAUAAAAUAUUUAUCAUUCAGCAAUGCACAAAAAUAGAUUAUAAUCACAGAAGCAGAGAAAUGCAAUGCUUGAAAAUGAAUGUAUUAUAUAAUAUUCAAAGAUGUGAAAGUGGAAUACUUGUGAAACACAGUUGUAAACAUUGUAUGCGUUUCAUAAGGUUAUUAAAAUUAUUACUGAGUGCAUACUGGAAAAAAAAGGAAAACAACAAGAAUCAUGCUUUACAAAGAAAAAAAGAGAAAAUGUAGAUGACACUUUCUAUAAUAGAUGAUCAAGGGAUAACUAUCUUUAAGGUUGUUUAUUUAGAAACUGAUCUUUUCCCACCAGAUCGUUUGCAUUUUAUUUAAUCAUUCAAAGAUGAAAUCUUUACCCAAAACAUUCUAACACUUUAAAAAUCUGAUUUAAAUAGUUGAACCUAAACUUUGUGGAAAUAGUGGAGAACGUCUACACUGGAUUAGUUCUCACCUUUUCAAAAUAGCCUUUGAGGCACUAAAGUUUAGGAGAUGAAAAAAGACUGACCACUGGAGUAGACUAAAGAAAAGAGGAAGAUGCUGAAAAAUGAGAACUUCAAGCGACAUCACAUGUACCUGUUGCUUGCAGUAUGAUCAAGAAUAAGGAAAGUGCAGCACUUAGGGAAAGAGAGGUGCAGUUUAACAAACAGCUAUUAAAAAUCCUUGCAACAAGGAUUAUGGCUAUAACACCUUGAAAAUUGAUCACCAGAUAAUAUUAAGACAAAAUUAAAAUCUGUGUUUUACAUUUGCCUCACUAUUACAAUACAUAUGUGAAAAAGAAUUUAAAAUGCUCAAGUUAAAAAACAAAAAAAAAUGAUUCAUCCUAAAGCACCAAGAGUAAAUUAAAAGAUUGGAGAGAUAAAAAUCUGAUAAUAUUUGAGCACAGAGGCCUAAAUGAUAUUGUUAUGGACACUUACCAAACUCUGACAAAUACUCUGUUGAUUAUAUGAUCAUGCAUAUGCGUCUUGGGCUUGAGAUAAAUGGUUAUGAAAAAUAACUGCUCUGAAAUUGCAUAUAUGUCCAUAUACCCUAUAAAGCCACACCACACUAAUAAAUUUCAUUACUGAAUAUCACCUACCCCUGUUAAUGUACUUAUUGCAGGCUCUGAACAUUGACUAGUGUAAAACUUUGCUUAGAAUGGAAAGCAAAAAUUGAGACAGUUAUUCCUAUAUUUGCAUAUCAGAAUAAUUAAACUUCUCAUCAAUAAUAGCAAACUCGGUUGAAAUUUCAUUUGACUGGUUUAUGAUACUGAUAUCAGAUUUUUGUAGUGAAAGGCAAAAAAUGCUAACAUUUUGUAAAAGUGUGUAAUUGUAGACUGACCAUUAUGCCAAUAGAUGCUCAAGUAUACCAACUUUUUAAUAUUAUAAUGUCCCGGUGGAAGAUGUUUUUUUUUAUUUAUUAAAAGGAAAGAGAUGUAUAGAUAAAGAAACAGAAGCUAUGUAAAUACCCUGGAAUGUAUGCAGUCAUUAGUUUAAAUAUCUGAUAACUGCACUUUUCAAAUUAGUUGUAUGUCAAGUGAAGCCAAAUACUUAUAUUAAAGCUGCUUCAUUAUAGUAAUCAGAAAUAAAUAUUUUGAA